rnacentral:rRNA from 1 species
CCCUUAGACGUUCUGGGCCGCACGCGCGCUACACUGACACAGGCAACGAGCUUUCCUUUACCGAAAGGUAUGGGUAAUCUUUUGAAACUGUGUCGUGCUGGGGAUAGAUCCUUGCAAUUUUUGAUCUUAAACGAGGAAUUCCUAGUAAGCGCGAGUCAUCAACUCGCGUUGAUUACGUCCCUGCCCUUUGUACACACCGCCCGUCGCUACUACCGAUUGGAUGUUUAAGCGAGGUUCUCGAACUGCUAGCGACUUAGCUUCGGUGAGGUCGCAGUGUGGGAAGUGAACCUAGCUUUGGUGUCUAGAGGAAGUAAAAGUCGUAACA